rnacentral:ribozyme from 1 species
AGGCGCAGAAGAAAGAGCAGAAAAAGAUGAAAGAGAAGAAGGAGGAAAAGGAAACAACGUUCAGCGUAUUUAGCGCUGAAUAAAUUUUCCGGACAGAUUUUAUU